rnacentral:rRNA from 1 species
UACGUAGGAGGCAAGCGUUGUCCGGAUUUAUUGGGCGUAAAGAGCGUGUAGGCGGUUUGGUAGGUCCGUUGUGAAAACUCGAGGCUCAACCUCGAGACGCCGAUGGAAACCAUCAGACUAGAGUCCGGAAGAGGAGAGUGGAAUUCCUGGUGUAGCGGUGAAAUGCGCAGAUAUCAGGAAGAACACCCGUGGCUAAGGCGGCUCUCUAGUACGGUACUGACGCUGAGACGCGAAAGCGUGGGGAGCAAACAGG